ensembl:lncRNA
AAACGGGGUGUGACCUCUCCUGUGUUUUAUCGAGUCAAAGUCCUGAGCUAAAGGAACACACUGCAGUUGUGUAAUUGCCGUCCUGGGUUCUCCAGGGGGUGGAGCGCCUGUUGAGUCAGCAGGCGGAUGGCAGGGCCCUGCCUGGAGCGCAGGCCCCUCACUCCAAGCUCCAGUCCUCCUCCACUCCACGGUGGAGGGAGCGCAUGUCUUGCUGCCUCCACCGUGUUGCCUUGCUCCGGGAAGAUGCUGAUUCCUGCUCAACACAGGCCUUUGACUCUUGGAAAUUCACGGGAGAUUCCAGAGAGCGCCCGGUUCUGUGCUAACUGCUGAGGUACGGUUCUAGCAGAGGUAGUUGUGAAGGGGAGUGGUCCUGAAUAGCCUGAUGGUCUGAGGACCAUCACCUACCCUAUGGACAUGAAUUUGGACAAACUCCGGGAGACAGUGAAGGACAAGGAAGCCUGGUGUGCUGCAGUCCACGGGGUCACAAAGAGUCACAUACAACUUAGUGACUGAAUGACAACAACACAAAACUGAGGACUGGGAUAUCAGCGGAGGAUGUUCUCAUGGAAAAGAAAAGUCCAGCCCCUUCCAGAAAGUUCUGCCUGGCUCAGCAAAUUGUCCUGUUACCUUAUUGGCACUGCCUCUGUAUUUCUUUUCCAUUUCAGACCAGGAAGGACACAUGGGCAGUCUUCAUGCAUGGGUUUUUAUCAGAAUGAUCUAACCUUCAGGAAAGGCCAAGAAACUCUACUCCUGCCUUUGCGCUCUCAACCUGCUUCCAGGAAUUUAUCCCAAAGAAGUACUUCCAAAGACGGUUUAAAAGUCUUGCUUUAAUAAAGGUUGAUUGUAUAUAUAAUAGCAGGUAGAGCUACACAGGCACCAAAUGACAGCUGGACGAACAAACUCUGGCCCAUCCGCUGGAAGGAAUACGACGAGAAGCUCACAAAUGACAAAUGUAAAUCUCGUCCAGCCAUAGGAAAGUGUACAUGAGGGAACAUCAGGGAAAAUGCUUGAAAUUCAAACUGUAUACGUCUGUCAAGUGUUUUUUUUUUUAAACCUCCUCACUGUGCUCUAGAAAGGCCACCUCCUGGAUUUGACACUGCCCAGUGUGCUAGUUUCUUUUUUAAUAUUUAUUUUAUUUUUAAAACGUAUUUGGCUGCACCAGGUCUUCACUGCAAUAUUCUUCUCUUUUAAUUGUGGCAUGCAAAGUCUUAGCUGUGGCAUGGGGGGUCUAGUUCCCUGACCAGGGAUAGAACUCAGGUCCCCUUUACUGGGAGCUUGGAGUUAUAGCCACGGGAGCACCAGGGAAGUCCCUAGUUUCUUCUUGUUAAUGACUGAAUUCAGAGAGACAUUUCCCCAUGUGAACUGGGCCUCACAGCAAGGGUUAUCUUCCAGGAUGAAUAAAAAACAGCCACUUCCAAUCUCAAUGUACACUUGGCUCUCUGAAUCUGCAAGUUCCCCAUCCUCGGAUAUGGAGGUGACUGGAGGCCUGUAGAUGAAAACUGGAAGAGCUGAAGAAAGAUUUUUUAAGAAUUGAAAUAAAGCCUGUCUUCUUUUUUAUGGGUAUUUGUGUCCUUAGAAAAGACCCUGAUGCUGGGAAAGAUUGAAGACAGGAGGAAAAGGGGAUGACAGAGGAUGAGAUGGUUGAAAGGCAUCACCGACUCGAUGGACAUGAGUUUGUGCACGCUCCGGGAGUUGCUGAUGGACAGGGAAGCCUCACAUGCUGCAGUCCGUGGGAUGGCAAAGAACUGGACAUGACUGAGAGACUGAACUGAACUGUGUCCUUGGAUAAUGGAUUGACAGAUAAAAUAAUCCCUGUGAAAAUGUUUUCUGACUUUUAAGUAUGUUUCAAUAUAAAAUUUUGAUUCCCUUUCUUGAAAAAGUAAAACAUCAUUUAAUAACUGCUAACUGCUCGAUCCUGCAUUAGGUGGCUGGUAUAGAAAUUGAGCGUUUGCUAUCUGGGAGUCAGAAGAGUGGGGACGGAAUCUUGACCUGGUCUUUCCCUUCUCAGAUUACUCUGGGAGUUGGGAUGCAAAGAAGGAGUAGCACGUGCUCACAUGCAAAGGAUGGGAGAUCACUUUCUCAGAUCAGACAGGGCUUCCCUGGUGGCUCUGCGGCGAAGAAUCCACCGACCAAGGCAGGAGACGCGAGCUCAGUCGCUGAGCUGGGAAGAUCCCACAUGCCCGGAGCAACUAACCUGUGCGCCACGGCUAUGGAGCCCACGUGCUGCCAAGACAGACGCGCAUGUGCCCUGUGGGCUCCACGAGAGCAACCCUGUCAGCGAGAAGCGCGCGCCACAGUCGGAGCAGCCCC